rnacentral:rRNA from 1 species
CGACCGGCGCACGGGUGAGUAACACGUAUGCAACCUGGCCGUCACAGGUGGAUAACCGGAAGAAAUUCCGACUAAUACAGCAUAACACUCCUGAGGGACAUCCCUUGGGAGUCAAAGGAGGCAACUCCGGUGACGGAUGGGCAUGCGGCGCAUUAGGUAGUUGGUAGGGUAACGACCUACCAAGCCGACGAUGCGUAGGGGUUCUGAGAGGAAGGUCCCCCACAUUGGAACUGAGACACGGUCCAAACUCCUACGGGAGGCAGCAG